GCUUGUCUCAAAGAUUAAGCCAUGCAUGUCUAAGUAUAAGCACCCUUAUACUGCGAAACUGCGUACAGCUCAUUAUAUCAGCAAUUAUUUAUUUGAAGGUCACCUAUUACAUGGAUAACUGUGGUAAUUCUAGAGCUAAUACAUGCACCCAUGCCCGACUUUGUGGAAGGGUUGUGUUUAUUAGUUACAGAACCAACCCAGGCUCUGCCUGGUCUUGUGGUGAUUCAUAAUAACCGAACGAAUCGUAUGGCAUCAGCUGGCGAUGAAUCAUUCAAGUUUCUGACCUAUCAGCUUCCGACGGUAGGGUAUUGGCCUACCGUGGCAAUGACGGGUAACGGAGAAUUAGGGUUCGAUUCCGGAGAGGGAGCCUGAGAAACGGCUACCACAUCUAAGGAAGGCAGCAGG
rnacentral:rRNA from 1 species